AAACCCUGGCCUGUUUCUUUUUCUUCCUCGUCUGGCUAGGACUCUAACCGAGCCGCACCACCUCUCUCCCACGAUGGUUCCUGGGUUUCUCUCCCGGCCUUCCUUUUCACUUGCCUUAGCUUGUUUUAGACGCCAACCAAACGAAAUAGCGUCUUUUCAACGCCAAAUUGCCCAACACUAUAAAAACCGUUCCCUUUACUCACAAAAUCUUAGAUCUCAGAUUUCAGAUAUCAAAUCUCAGAUCGUUUCUUACUCUCUUUGAAGAAAUUGUGUUGCGAUGGCUGAUUUUCGUCUUCAAGACCUUUGUCAACCUCAACUCACACAAAUCGCUGCUGAAAAUACCAAAGCAGUUGCAGAAGAAUACUUUAAGUUGGGAAAUAUCAACAAGGCCAUCCAAUAAGGAUUCGCAGCACUUGAUUUGAACCCUGAGUUACGAAUGGUCCAAAAAUGCACUGCAGCUUAUCUUGUUCACAAGUUUGAUUUGAUGCUAUGCUUUUGCCAGAAGAUGAAGAUGGACGAUACUGAAGUCCUAUAUUCGAUUCUUUUUAUCGAAGAUUGUUCUGCCGUAGUUGAUGCUGCGACUAUUAGAAAACACUACAAGGAAGUGGUACUAUUGGUCCAUCCGGACAAGAAUGAUUCAGUUGCAGCAGAUGGUGCUUUCAAGAUCGUUCGUCAGGCUUGGGAAACUCUCUUAUCUGAUCACAAAAAAAGAAGAAAGACUCGAUGAGGAUGAAGUUUUUUGGUUUGGAUUAGAUUCAUUUUGAAUGUAUUCAAAUUUUUUUAUGAAUAAUAUGUAGUUAGUUUUUAUUUUGUUCUGAUUUUGUUACUUUUUUUAGAUUCAAUUUGAUUUUGAUUUUUAGUGUCAGUCCAAUUUCAUAAUUGAUCACAAUUAUGAUUAAGCAUUCCAAGUUGAAAUGCUACCAUCAUCAAUCCAUAAUAUAAUAUACAGAGUAAAUUGAAGCAAAUUAUUUGAAGAAUAUUCUGUUGUGGGUUUUUUUAGGGGUGAUAGUUUGUUGAUUAUUCAUUAUCUCAAUGUCAAUUCUUUUUUUUUUGGCNAUACAUCAUUAUAUUUCUUUUUCUGUAACUAAUUUAUAACAAUAAUAAUCUUAAAAAUUAUUAAAAUUAAUAAACAAUUCUUGAUUCUACUAAUUUAAAUUUUUUAUACAAAACUUUUAACAUCAAUUGUUCAUAAAAUUUACAAAUCUGUCGUGUAUAGUCUGUAUUUUUCUAAUUUUAUAAAUGAAAAUAAAAAACUACAAAAGUAGUAUGUUAUAACGAUUAAAUACCUUUAAUUAUAAUUAUUCUCAAUCAUAAUUUCUUAUUGCAAUGAAUACCAAAUUGAAUUUUGGUUCAAGAAAGAUAAGAUGCAUUUUGAGUAGAAAUUUUAAAUUCAAAUCAUAGAGUUCAUCACGUGAAAAAGAAAAAAAAAAUUUUUUGAAUAAUUUUGAGAGAAAAUGACGUCGUUUGUUGUUAGUCACUUGAAAUGAGUGAAAUGACGUCGUUCCUUCUUAAUGCUUAUUUCCCUCCUGCCACACGGUGUCGUUUUAGCAAGUGAUAAAACCAUCCCUUGAAACCCUGGCCUGUUUCUUUUUCUUCCUCGUCUGGCUAGGACUCUAACCGAGCCGCACCACCUCUCUCCCACGAUGGUUCCUGGGUUUCUCUCUCGACCGUCCUUUUCACUUGCCUUAGCUUGUUUUAGACGCCAACCAAACGAAAUAGCGUCUUUUCAACGCCAAAUUGCCCAACACUAUAAAAACCGUUCCCUUUACUCACAAAAUCUUAGAUCUCAGAUUUCAGAUAUCAAAUCUCAGAUCGUUUCUUACUCUCUUUGAAGAAAUUGUGUUGCGAUGGCUGAUUUUCGUCUCCAAGGUCUUUGUCAAUCUCAAUUCACAGAGAUUGCUGCUGAAAGAGCUAAAGUAGCUGCAGAGGAAUAUUUCAAGUCGGGAAACAUCGACAGAGCUAUUCAGCAAGGGUUCGCAGCACUCGAUUUGAACCCCAAUUUACGGAUCGUGCAGAAGUACAUUGCCGCCUAUUUGAUUCACAAGUUUGCUUCUAUGUUAAGUCUUUGCCAGAAAAUGAAGGUAGACGAUACCAAAGUUCUGUACUCCAUUCUUUUUAUCGAAGAUUGUUCUGCCGUAGUUGAUGCUGCGACUAUUAGAAAACACUACAAGGAAGUGGUACUAUUGGUCCAUCCGGACAAGAAUGAUUCAGUUGCAGCAGAUGGUGCUUUCAAGAUCGUUCGUCAGGCUUGGGAAACUCUCUUAUCUGAUCGCAACAAAAGAAGAAAGACUCGAUGAGGAUGAAGUUUUUUGGUUUGGAUUAGAUUCAUUUUGAUAUGUAUUCAAAUUUUUUAUGAAUAACAUGUAGUUAGUUUUUAUUUUGUUCUGAUUUGGUUACUUUGUUGAGAUUCAAUUUGAUUUUGAUUUUUAGUGUCAGUCCAAUUUCAUAAUUGAUCACAAUUAUGAUUAAGCAUUCCAAGUUAAAAUGCUACCAUCAUCAAUCCAUAAUAUAAUAUACAGAGUAAAUUGAAGCAAAUUAUUUGAAGAAUAUUCUGAUGUGGGUUUUUUAGGCAAUGAACGUUUUCUUUAAGCUUUCAGAUUUUAUUUUGUUAAAAUAAAUUUCUUUGUGUUAUAUAUUUUGUA
rnacentral:lncRNA from 1 species